rnacentral:rRNA from 1 species
UACGGAGGGGGCUAGCGUUGUUCGGAAUUACUGGGCGUAAAGCGCACGUAGGCGGCUUUGUAAGUUAGAGGUGAAAGCCCGGGGCUCAACUCCGGAAUUGCCUUUAAGACUGCAUCGCUAGAAUUGUGGAGAGGUAAGUGGAAUUCCGAGUGUAGAGGUGAAAUUCGUAGAUAUUGGGAAGAACACCAGUGGCGAAGGCGGCUCACUGGUCCGAUACUGACGCUGAGGUGCGAAAAGCGUGGGGGAGCAAACAGG